UUAUCAAAAACAUCGCCUCUUGCUAACAAAGGAAGUACUAGAGGUCCCGCCUGCCCUGUGACCACAAAGUUUAACGGCCGCGGUAUCCUGACCGUGCGAAGGUAGCGUAAUCAUUUGUCUUUUAAAUAGAGAGACCUGUAUGAAUGGCAUAACGAGGGUUUAACUGUCUCCUUCCCCUAGUCAAUGAAAUUGAUCUGCCCGUGCAGAAGCGGACAUAAAUACAUAAGACGAGAAGACCCUAUGGAGCUUUAGACAAAAGAUCAAACAUGUAAAGAAACCAAACCAACCAAAAGGAACACGAAGGCCACAAAACCCAACGUAAACUGAUCUAAAUGUCUUCGGUUGGGGCGACCAUGGGGGAAAGAAAAGCCCCCACGAGGAACAGGGACAACCCCUAAACUAAGAGAGACACCUCUAAGCAACAGAAAAUCUGACCAAAAUGACCCAGGAUACUAAUCCUGAUCAACGAACCAAGUUACCCUAGGGAUAACAGCGCAAUCCUUUCCCAGAGUCCAUAUCGACGAAAGGGUUUACGACCUCGAUGUUGGAUCAGGACAUCCUAAUGGUGCAGCCGCUAUUAAGGGUUCGUUUGUUCAACGAUUAAUAGUCCUACGUGAUCUGAGUUCA
rnacentral:rRNA from 1 species